GUGAACGCUGGCGGUAGGCCUAACACAUGCAAGUCGAACGGCAGCACCGUAAGAGCUUGCUCUUACGGGUGGCGAGUGGCGGACGGGUGAGGAAUACAUCGGAAUCUACUUUUUCGUGGGGGAUAACGUAGGGAAACUUACGCUAAUACCGCAUACGACCUACGGGUGAAAGCAGGGGAUCUUCGGACCUUGCGCGAUUGAAUGAGCCGAUGUCGGAUUAGCUAGUUGGCGGGGUAAAGGCCCACCAAGGCGACGAUCCGUAGCUGGUCUGAGAGGAUGAUCAGCCACACUGGAACUGAGACACGGUCCAGACCCCUACGGGAGGCAGCAGUGGGGAAUAUUGGACAAUGGGCGCAAGCCUGAUCCAGCCAUACCGCGUGGGUGAAGAAGGCCUUCGGGUUGUAAAGCCCUUUUGUUGGGAAAGAAAAGCAGCAGGUUAAUACCCCGCUGUUCUGACGGUACCCAAAGAAUAAGCACCGGCGAACUUCGU
rnacentral:rRNA from 1 species